GCCAAUGUGGUAUAGUGGUUUGGGCAACAGACUACAACUCUGAUGACCAGAGUUCAAAUCCCUGCUCAGCCA